rnacentral:lncRNA from 1 species
ACACAGGAUUGAUUUCCAAAGACUCAUGCUAUGUAAGGAAGCCACCAAGAAGGGCAAAGAAAAGGAGCCAGGGACGGCUCUUCCUCAGGGACACUAGACUUUCAGGGAUGUGGCUAUAGAUUUCUCUUUGGAGGAGUGGAAAUGCCUGAACCCUGCACAGAGGGCUUUAUACAGGGAAGUGAUGUUGGAGAACUACAGGAACCUGGAGUUUGUGGGGACAUACGUGACAUUUGGUGAGAUGUGGGACAGGAGGACUCCUUCAGGAGACUGAUCCCCUGUCCUGAUCUCCAUGAGGAGCUCCAGCUACGACCUCAGGUCCUCAGACCAACCAGCCCAAGGAACGUCUCACCAAUUUCAAAUUGGGUAAGUGGUCUUUUUACUGUCUUCUCCAACUUUGUCACUAUCCCUCAUCAUCUUUCUCCUUUCAAUUUCAGCACCACCUUUCAAUCUCUCCCUUCCCUUAAUUUCAGUUCCUUUCCUUUUCUGGUAGAGACAGAGGAGACAUGUUUUAUCCAUGAACCCAAAACUCCAGCGCUGGUCACGGACUUGGGAAGACAGUCUUCCCUUGGUGUUUAAUCACUGCAGGGAUGCCUGUCUGAUUAUUCACCCACAUUUCAGACUUGUUCAAUCACCACAGGGACACCUGCCUUGAUCCUCCACCUUGGUGGCAAGUACCAUUUCCUCUUUGUGGCAAGUACCACCCCACUCUCUCUGUGUCUCUACCCCUCUUUUCUCUAAACUUACGUUUUUACUAUGGGCAACCAUCCACCCUCCAUUCCUCCUACUUCCCCCUUAGCCUGUGUUCUUAAAAACUUGAAACCUCUUCAACUCUCACCUGAUC